rnacentral:rRNA from 1 species
GUGCACCAGUCGCGAAACCUCCGCAAUGCGGGAAACCGCGACGGGGGACCCCGAGUGCCGUGGCAACGCCACGGCUUUUCCGGAGUGUAAAAAGCUCCGGGAAUAAGGGCUGGGCAAGGCCGGUGGCAGCCGCCGCGGUAAUACCGGCGGCCCGAGUGGUGGCCGCUAUUAUUGGGCCUAAAGCGUCCGCAGCCGGGCCCGUAAGUCCCUGGCGAAAUCCCACGGCUCAACCGUGGGGCUUGCUGGGGAUACUGCGGGUCUUGGGACCGGGAGAGGCGGGGGGUACCCCUGGGGUAGGGGUGAAAUCCUAUAAUCCCAGGGGGACCGCCAGUGGCGAAGGCGCCCCGCUGGAACGGGUCCGACGGUGAGGGACGAAGGCCAGGGGAGCAAACCGGAUUAGAUACCCGCGUAGU